GGCCCGACACAGUUUCAGAGGGGAGAUAAGAGACCCUAAAACUAGGAACGACGGUGACGUUGAUUGGCUUCUAGAAACCGGAUACGCAAUGGGAGUGAGAACUGGGACCUCGUCAUGAGUAUCCAGGCAGAAAGACCCGACACAGUUCGAGCGGAGAGAAAGUGAAACCCCAGGAGGUGGGGAAACUCCCGAGGUUUGACUCCCCGCCCAGACAUCACCUUCUGGCCUAAGACCCUGAGAGCCUUGACCGGGGACCUGGGACUUUGCCCUGACCCCUCUCCUACUGCCUGGAGGACCCUUGAAACUUGCUUUUUUAUUCUUCAAUUAAAUUAUGGUGAAGAUUCAUAACUGCUAUUGCUGUUUGUUAAAAGAGGCUCAUUUCUGCUACCUUUUACAUCAGUGCAAAUGUCAACACAGUGAAAAAGCCACACCACUUGGCUUAUGGGAAGACCAGGGAUUGAACCCAGGCUGACGGCAGUGAAAGCAUGAGUCUUACCCACUGGACCACCAGGGAAUUCCCAACAAUGAGCAAUUUUAACACCACAGCUUCUAGGUCAAGUUCUCUUACAUUGGCUCAUAUAACUUUAGACAAUGACAGAGCACCAUGAAAGUUCAAGUGAGAUACAGAAAGCAAUUCAAGAGACACCCAGAGCUGUGUAGUCCAAAUUGGUUCUUGACUGAUUGGUUUUUCAACCUGGAACUUCUUCCGAGAUAUCUAGAGAUAAUGACAUCACAGUGAGAACUCCUGAGAGAAAGUUGCCUGCCAGGCUCUUCUGUCCAUGGGAUUCUCCAAGCAAGAAUACUGAGUGAGUUCACAAGCCCUCCUCCAGGGACUCUUCCUGACCCAGGGAUUGACCCUCUUCUACAUUGCCAGGUGGGUUCUUUACCCUAGUGCCACCUGGAAAGACCUAAUAUAGGUCUAUAUAGUUUCCUUUAAGCGAUGAGUUUUUGCCCAUAGUGUAUUCUCACUGAGAACACAAGAAAAAUGAGCAAAAACUUAUUGCUAAAAGGAAACUUUGGGUGACUUUUUUCUAGUCUAUGACACAUCAAAAAGUAAAAAAAUCAGCAUCAGUACAAAAUACCUAAAUAAUGUAAUUUCUAAGGAAAACUUCAUAGACAUAUAUCAAAUUCUAUUCCAAGGACAGAGCAAAUGUAGCUUCUUUUUGAAUGUUUGGAACUGUUCAGAAAUUCACAACAUACAACACAGAAAGCCUCAAGAAAGUCCAAAAUAGUGAAUUGGCGGCAAACUCUUCUAAUCACAAGAUUUAAAAACUGUGAAACAUUAGAGUAUUAGAAACUGCCCCUUCCGCCCACCAGCACCACUGACAGAAGAAGAAAAAGAUGAGAGUCUCUGAAGAGGCUCUUAACUGGAGGAGAAGGUUUCACAGAAUCUCACCUCCUUGUCCUGGUCCUGGCUUACCUGUGCUGGAUCCCACCACCUGCUGCCUUCAGGACCGUCCUGGCAUCGGGCUGGUUACAGACAAACCAUCAGUUCUGGUGUCUUGGUCUUUGGAGUCGAUGAUGCUCAAAAGGUCUUGCCUCAGCCCUCCCUGCACCUCCCUCACCACUGACCCUCCAGAGCACACCUGACCUCACACACCAGCCCUGAGGUGGGGCCGGGGCGGGGAGGGGAGGGAGGCGGUCACAGUAAGUUUUGGACCACGUGGGUCAAGGUCCUCUCUCCAACCCUCAGCUCUGUUCCCACACAAGGACGACACAGAUUAGCAGGGGUCCAGGGAAGUCAUGGACUGGCACUGCCCCUCAUCAGGGUGAGAGGUUUAGGUCACCAGAGCACAGACCACAGUUUUCUUCAAGUCCCCAGCAGGGGGCGCCGCUCCUGACACACAGUAGGUUCUCCAUCAGUUCCCUCCCUCCUGGCAACUGUUCCCAACCACUAAGUAUAGACUAUGUUGCCUUUACAGGUCAUUCCGCCCCACUGUGAUUCCCUUGCUGUGUCACUCACUGAGACCCAGUACAGAGCCUGACAUAUAGUGACCACAUAACAAAUGAUUGGUAAAUCAGUGUGGGGUUUUCUUCAACUGACUAAUAAAUGUGUAAAGUCUAAAAAGUUCAUAUGACAUAAAAGGGUUGCAAAGAAAAGUAAAUUUCCUCUCCAUCCCAUCCAAAUUCUUUCCAGAUUCCCUCCCUGGACAAGGUAAGUGUUACAGUUUAGAUAGUCUUCUAGAGAGAGAGUCCAUUUUGUAAGGUAUUUUUCUACAUUCUAUCUACAACUUUGUUAUCAAUUAGCAAUAUAUUCUGAGACUAUUUUAUUUUUAAAAUACAAAUCUAAUUCAGUUUAAGAUAUUGGUAAUAAUGAUUCUCCACUGCUGAUUUUAAACAUUUAAGUAUAGGAAAGAUCCUCCAUCUUCCAUAAUAAUAGAUUUUUU